rnacentral:rRNA from 1 species
AAUGUCUGGGAAACUGCCUGAUGGAGGGGGAUAACUACUGGAAACGGUAGCUAAUACCGCAUAACGUCGCAAGACCAAGAGGGGGACCUUCGGGCCUCUUGCCAUCGGAUGUGCCCAGAUGGGAUUAGCUAGUAGGUGGGGUAACGGCUCACCUAGGCGACGAUCCCUAGCUGGUCUGAGAGGAUGACCAGCCACACUGGAACUGAGACACGGUCCAG